rnacentral:rRNA from 1 species
CAAGCCCUACGGGGCGCAGCAGUAGGGAAUAUUGCUCAAUGGGGGAAACCCUGAAGCAGCAACGCCGCGUGGAGGAUGAAGGUUUUCGGAUUGUAAACUCCUUUUGUUAGAGAAGAUAAUGACGGUAUCUAACGAAUAAGCACCGGCUAACUCCGUGCCAGCAGCCGCGGUAAUACGGAGGGUGCAAGCGUUACUCGGAAUCACUGGGCGUAAAGAGCGCGUAGGCGGGAUAGCAAGACAGAUGUGCAAUCCUAUGGCUUAACCAUAGAACUGAAUUUGAAACUGUUAUUCUA